GGCACCUCAAAUCAAGAUCCAACAUAAAAAUCUUGCUAGGAUCAUGGGCUGCUGCGUCAAAGAAGAUGAGAAGUUACUGAUUUAUGAGUUCAUGCCGAACAGAAGCUUGGACACUCAUCUAUUUGAUCCGGCGAGGAGACCUGAGCUUGAUUGGGGCAGACGCUUCAAUAUUAUUCAGUGUGUUGCUAGAGGGCUUCUUUAUCUCCACCAUGAUUUGUAUUUGAAGAGUAUGCCACAGGAGGGAUAUUUUCUGAAAAAUCUGAUGUCUAUAGCUUCGGGGUCUUGAUAUUGGCGAUUAUUAGCGGCAGGAACAAUACCAGCUUCUAUUACUUUGGAAAACAUCUAGGUGUCCUAGCUUAUGUAAGUUCACACUCUAAAUCCUACAAGCUAAGUACAGCAGAGUCUAACAAGUCUAGCCAACAUACGCGAAAUUUUGUCGGGCAUGGUACUGUGGAAUUAAGGCAGGGGAUAUGACUUGGUUGAUGAAGUAUUGGCUGAUUCAUAUUCCUCAUCAGAAGUGAUGAGAUGUGUGCACACUGGGCUUCUCUGUUUAAAGACAAGACAAUGCUGCAGAUAGGCCAACCAUGCCAGAUGUAUUUUUUUUUUUUGUGUGUGUGGAUAUAAGUUGUGUGUUGUAUUCAUUGCAAAAUUUAGCUUCAGUAUAGGAACCCCAAAAGCACGAACACAACUAUUUUAAUCUGGACCACGUUUUCUCAUAAACGUGCCAAAGCUAAUCGCGUGCAUGCAUUUCUCACCCGUGCACAUUCUAUGAUCUAAUCAUUUACAGUAUAUAAACAUGUUAGUUUAUGGGAGAAGAGGUUUAGGAAAUGGUCGGUUUAGUGUUUAGGACAAUAGCUUAACUUGGAAUGGAAAACUCUUGAAAGAGUAACCAAGUAGUUCUAUUUGAAUGAAGUAGAGGAAAGGUGCAAGGCUUUGGAUAUAGGACAGCUGUAGUUUUCAGCUUAAUUACUUGAGUUGGCUGUAGGCAUAUUUAUACAGAUGCUAAGUCGGCAAUUUUGCUUGGACAAGUCGGUUGCGCAGUAACCGACUUAUCUAAAGUCAUUUUUAACAACAAGUUAGUCCUAUAAUUCUAGAAUUCUCUAGUUACAAUAACAAUAAAUAAUUAUUAGGAUGGUUCUACUAAGAGUCAACCAACUCUUACUUAGUAAUUCUCUCAAUUAUUUUAGAAUUUUCUAGUUUUAUCACACAAGUGUGCAUUAAUAUUUAACACUCCUCCUUAAUGCACAUUUGUGUUAUUCCGAGUAUG